rnacentral:rRNA from 2 species
CAAUGGACGCAAGUCUGAUGGAGCAACGCCGCGUGAGUGAAGAAGGCUUUCGGGUCGUAAAACUCUGUUGUUGGAGAAGAAUGGUCGGCAGAGUAACUGUUGUCGGCGUGACGGUAUCCAACCAGAAAGCCACGGCUAACUACGUGCCAGCAGCCGCGGUAAUACGUAGGUGGCAAGCGUUAUCCGGAUUUAUUGGGCGUAAAGCGAGCGCAGGCGGUUUUUUAAGUCUGAUGUGAAAGCCCUCGGCUUAACCGAGGAAGCGCAUCGGAAACUGGGAAACUUGAGUGCAGAAGAGGACAGUGGAACUCCAUGUGUAGCGGUGAAAUGCGUAGAUAUAUGGAAGAACACCAGUGGCGAAGGCGGCUGUCUGGUCUGUAACUGACGCUGAUGCUCGAAAGCAUGGGUAGCGAACAGGAUUAGAUACCCUGGUAGUCCAUGCCGUAAACGAUGAAUGCUAGGUGUUGGAGGGUUCCGCCUUCAGUGCCGCAGCUAACGCAUUAAGCAUUCCGCCUGGGGAGUACGACCGCAAGGUUGAAACUCAAAGGAAUUGACGGGGGCCCGCACAAGCGGUGGAGCAUGUGGUUUAAUUCGAAGC